UUUUAGGUACAAAGGGCCACAAUGAAGUUUUUAAAGUAAGUGCCAAGAUGAGCAGACUGGAGCACUGAGAGGUCAAGAAACAUGCUCGUGCUGUGCGGCCAAUGGAAGAGACUUGCAUCUGUUUGUCUGCUAAGAGCAAAGAACCAGUGGUGGUGAAAAUGUUGGAUAGAUGGGACAGAGGAAGGCUGUUUGAUGUCCGUCUUGGAGAAGCAAGAGGACCCGGGAUGCCAGUGGAAGGAGAAACCCCUUCCACUGAGGUGGGAGAUCAGAAGGUAAAGAGGAAAGAGGAUGCAGGUAAGUCCGUGCUGGCAUAGUGGAUGGGGUAGCAGUGCU